rnacentral:rRNA from 1 species
AUGAACGCUAGCUACAGGCUUAACACAUGCAAGUCGAGGGGCAGCAUUUUAGUUUGCUUGCAAACUGAAGAUGGCGACCGGCGCACGGGUGAGUAACACGUAUCCAACCUGCCGAUAACUCCGGAAUAGCCUUUCGAAAGAAAGAUUAAUACCGGAUAGUAUACGAAUAUCGCAUGGUAUUUUUAUUAAAGAAUUUCGGUUAUCGAUGGGGAUGCGUUCCAUUAGUUUGUUGGCGGGGUAACGGCCCACCAAGACUACGAUGGAUAGGGGUUCUGAGAGGAAGGUCCCCCACAUUGGAACUGAGACACGGUCCAAACUCCUACGGGAGGCAGCAGUGAGGAAUAUUGGUCAAUGGGCGAGAGCCUGAACCAGCCAAGUAGCGUGAAGGAUGAAGGCUCUAUGGGUCGUAAACUUCUUUUAUAUGGGAAUAAAGUUUUCCACGUGUGGAAUUUUGUAUGUACCAUAUGAAUAAGGAUCGGCUAACUCCGUGCCAGCAGCCGCGGUAAUACGGAGGAUCCGAGCGUUAUCCGGAUUUAUUGGGUUUAAAGGGAGCGUAGGUGGAUUGUUAAGUCAGUUGUGAAAGUUUGCGGCUCAACCGUAAAAUUGCAGUUGAAACUGGCAGUCUUGAGUACAGUAGAGGUGGGCGGAAUUCGUGGUGUAGCGGUGAAAUGCUUAGAUAUCACGAAGAACUCCGAUUGCGAAGGCAGCUCACUAGACUGUCACUGACACUGAUGCUCGAAAGUGUGGGUAUCAAACAGGAUUAGAUACCCUGGUAGUCCACACAGUAAACGAUGAAUACUCGCUGUUUGCGAUAUACAGUAAGCGGCCAAGCGAAAGCAUUAAGUAUUCCACCUGGGGAGUACGCCGGCAACGGUGAAACUCAAAGGAAUUGACGGGGGCCCGCACAAGCGGAGGAACAUGUGGUUUAAUUCGAUGAUACGCGAGGAACCUUACCCGGGCUUAAAUUGCAGAUGAAUUACGGUGAAAGCCGUAAGCCGCAAGGCAUCUGUGAAGGUGCUGCAUGGUUGUCGUCAGCUCGUGCCGUGAGGUGUCGGCUUAAGUGCCAUAACGAGCGCAACCCUUAUCUUUAGUUACUAACAGGUUAUGCUGAGGACUCUAGAGAGACUGCCGUCGUAAGAUGUGAGGAAGGUGGGGAUGACGUCAAAUCAGCACGGCCCUUACGUCCGGGGCUACACACGUGUUACAAUGGGGGGUACAGAAGGCGGCUACCUGGUGACAGGAUGCUAAUCCCAAAAACCUCUCUCAGUUCGGAUCGAAGUCUGCAACCCGACUUCGUGAAGCUGGAUUCGCUAGUAAUCGCGCAUCAGCCAUGGCGCGGUGAAUACGUUCCCGGGCCUUGUACACACCGCCCGUCAAGCCAUGAAAGCCGGGGGUACCUGAAGUACGUAACCGCAAGGAGCGUCCUAGGGUAAAACUGGUAAUUGGGGCU